UACGUAGGCAGCAAGCGUUGUUCGGAGUUACUGGGCGUAAAGGGUGUGUAGGCGGUUGUUUAAGUUUGGUGUGAAAUCUCCCGGCUCAACCGGGAGGGUGCGCCGAAUACUGAAUGACUAGAGUGUGGGAGAGGUGAGUGGAAUUCCUGGUGUAGCGGUGAAAUGCGCAGAUAUCAGGAGGAACACCGGUGGCGAAGGCGGUUCUCUGGG
rnacentral:rRNA from 1 species